UACAGAGGUCUCAAGCGUUGUUCGGAAUUACUGGGCGUAAAGGGCGCGUAGGCGGCCUUCUAAGUCAGACGUGAAAUCCCUCGGCUCAACCGAGGAACUGCGUCUGAUACUGGAAGGCUUGAAUCCGGGAGAGGAGACUGGAAUUUACGGUGUAGCGGUGAAAUGCGUAGAUAUCGUAAGGAAGACCAGUGGCGAAGGCGGGUCUCUGGACAGUUCCUGACGCUGAGGCACGAAGGCCAGGGGAGCAAACGGG
rnacentral:rRNA from 1 species